rnacentral:rRNA from 1 species
GUUCGACCCCCCGAAACCAGGCGAGCUACUUCUAAACAGCCACAAGCCAACCCUUCUCCGUCGCAAAGGAGUGGGAAGAUUUAAAAGUAGAGGCGACACACCUACCGAGCCUGGAGAUAGCUGGUUAUUUAGGAAAAGGAUUUAAGUCCACCUCUAAGUUUUUUUAGCAUGCUCAGACAAAAAUAAACUUACAAGUCAUUCAAAUAAGGUACAGCCUACUUGAAUAAGGAAACAGCCUACAACACAGGGUAAUGUUCACCCCCAUGACCAGGUGGGCCUAAAAGCAGCCAACCCUCAAAAAGCGUCCAAGCUUCAUCACUACAACAAUUAAUCCCAUCAUUAACCCACAACCCCCAACCACUACUAAAUAACCCCAUACGCAUAUGGGAGAUAUUAUGCUAGAACUAGUAACAAGAAGAAGCACUUCUCCUAGAUAAAAGCUUAAGCCACAGUGAACCGUUCGCCGGCAAUUACCGCCACUAAC